CCAAAGGCAACGCAGGAGCGAUGCGCGUGCCUCCAUGGCGUAAGCGUAAGCCGCCGAGCGGCGAACCGCGCCGCCGAUGCUCUCAUCCCCGUCGUCCUCGUCCGACGCUGCGCUCCUCACUCCGAGCGUCGCCGCCGCGCUCCUCGCCCGCUGCGCUUCCCGCGUCGCUGCGGCGGCGCUGCACGCCCGCCUCCUCCGCCGCUCCCGCGCCUUCUUCCGCUCCCCGUACCUCGCCAACUGCCUCGGCGCCGCAUACUCCCGCCUCGGCGCCGCACCGUCCGCCGUCGCAGUCCUGCGCGCUUCCGCCGCCAAGCCUAACGUGUUCUCGCACAACAUCCUCCUGUCGGCGCUCCUCAGCUCCGGCCUCCUGGAGGACGCGCGCGGGCUGUUCGACGGGAUGUCUCACAGGGACGCGGUCACCUACAACGCCAUGCUCUCCGGCUACGUCGCCGGCGCGCUUCCGGAUGAGGCGUUCCGUCUCUUCUACUCCAUGAGGGAGCGUGGCGUCAGGCCAACCGCCUUCACCUUCUCCAUAGUGUCGUCGGCGGUUGGCUCUGUCCGCCGCGGCCGACAGCUUCACGCUGCUGCUGUCCGCCACGGCCUGGCACACCGUGAUACCGUCGUAGGCAAUGCGCUUAUUGAUAUGUAUGGCCGGGUUGGGCUCUUGGAUUAUGCAGCGCGUGUCUUCUCUUGCAUGGAACAACCAGAUGUCACAUCCUGGAACUCUGUCAUGUCUGUUUACAAGGAUCAGCCUCUCAGCACUACUGUCUUUAGGUGUUUCCAGUCCAUGAGGAGCAACGGCUUUUCAGUUGAUGGCUUUACAGUGUCCAUCGUGUUCAGUGUUUGCUCGGAUGUGAAGGAUUUUGCAAAGGGUGACCAGAUGUUGUCACUCUGCAUUAAGAUGAACUUCCUUACAAACUCCAUCGUUUCUAGUGCUGUUAUUGACUUCCUCUGCGUGUCUGACAGACUGUCUGAUGCUGUUCAGUUCUUCAGAGAAAUGCCAACAUGGGCCUCAGAGCCUUGCAAUGCCCUGAUAUCGGGCUAUGCUAGGAGUGGCCUGAUGGAAGAAGCCCUCAGCCUCUUUGCGGUGUCUAUGCGAAAUGGUAUUGUUCCAAAUGAGUUCAGUUUUGCGAGUGUGCUGAGAUGGAGUUCGUGCUUUGGUUUAAUGGAGCAGGGCACUCAAAUCCAUUGCCUGGUUUGCAAGCUUGGAUUUCAGAAUGAUGUAAUUGUUUCCACAGCUCUCACUGACAUGUACUGUAAAUUGGGGUUAAUGAAGCAUGCCAGAAAAAUCUUCAAUAUGGUUGGUGCCAAGGAUUUGGUGUUAUGGAAUACAAUGCUUCUUGGCCUAUUGCAAAAUGGAAGAGCUAAGGAAGCCCUUGUAAUAUUUAAAAGGAUACUCAAGUGUGGUAUCCAACCUGAUAGAAUCACUCUUUUUGGAGCCUUAUCUGCAUGUGGUUUAGAAGGUUUGGUAACUGAAGGAAUGGAUAUAAUUACCCUGUUUAAAGAUAGGUACCAUAUUAUGCCUAGCCUGGACCACUAUACCUGUGUGGUUGACAUGUUAUGCCGUGCUAGGAUGUUCAGAGAGGCAGUGGAUUAUGUAGAGAACAACAUGCCGAAGUUUAGUGCUGCUACUUUCUCUAAUAUUCUGGAGGCCUGUGUAGUCCAAGGGAACACUAGCAUGGCAGAGCUAGUUGCCGAAAAGAUGGUGAUGCAAAAAUCCCGAUUGUCACUACCGUAUAUCGUUUUGGCUCAAAUAUAUGGUGCCAGAUGUAAGUGGGAAAAAAUGGCUGGAGUGUGGAGGUCAAUGGAAAAUCAAAGAGUAAAGAAGGUUCAUUCAUGCAGCUGGCUCUGCAUCAAGAAUCAUAUUUAUGUGUUUACGUCAGAACAGAUAUUGCACCAUGGAAAAGGAGCUACCUAUGAGGUUUUGGAUCUUCUAUUUUGGGACAUGACAGAUCAUAAAUAUGAUCCAUGUUUUAUAGAGCCCAAGAGCAGCGAAGGAUUAGGUUGUGUCCAGUUGUUCCUUGACUAACAAGUUACCUUGCCUUGCCUGUACUGAAGGCUCAGAGUGUCACACGCUAUGAACUCAGAAAAAGGUUGCAGUAAGAUUUGCUAGACUACGAUUAGGCUGUUGCAAUUUGGCAGUUUCUUUAUGUGAACUGCAAUGUCACCGAAGAUUUGGCGGUAUGGGCAGGGAAAAGGUUCAACCCAGAAUCAUCUGAGCAUGCUCUCCUCAGCUAUAGGAAGCCUAAGCUAUCUUGAGGAUGCAUGAGUAUUCUCAUGGAUAGCCUUUAUCAGUGCUAGUGUCUGUAUAUGUCUAACAAUUAGUUUCCUAUUUGUUUCCCUGUUACAGUCUGCUAGACAACAUGUAAACAGGCCAAUCCCAACAGAGAUUGACAAUGUUGUAAACUCCGUGGAUCACCUUGAAAGCAUCCUGCACUUAAAUUUGUCAUAUAAUAACCUGGUGGGUACUGAGAUCUUGUGUAAUAUGAUGCAACAUAGUCAGAAGUUUUGUCUGUGGGUUAUAAUGUGGAACAGGAUUGUAGGAGACUGAACCGGCCAUGGCAAUGAUGUACCAACAUGAAGAGCUGACAAGUUGACAUGCUGACCAAGCAUUGGAGCUCGUCGACACGUGGCUGGAGAUGAGGUUGAGCUCAUCUGUUUUGCUCUCCACUCCAGCUUUCUCUCCUCUCUCUAGAUUCCACUACCGAGCUCACUUCCUUUGCUAUCUCUGUUCCUUGGCGAGCUUGCUGUGCAGUCAAUAUCCGUCUCCAGCACCUCCUCAGUGCCAUAGUGCCAUCUCAGCUUGCCUCUCCUGCCAUUACCUCUCAUGGCUGCUCUUGCCUGCUUCCCUUCUCGUGCUUUGCCAUCAAGAUCCAACGCUACAGAUUCACCAUGAGCUCAGAUCCAAUGCUAAAGAUUCACCAUGAGACUAUGUGGCAGUCCUCUUUCCCGUCUGCAGUAUAGUGCAGUAGUGCAUGGUCACCAUCUCCCUCACUAGCUGGCGGCAGCACGGACUGAUGAGUAUUGCUUCGCCACAAAAUCUUCAAAGUCCGAUAAACAGAGUCAGAGAGAAUUUCUGCAUUCUCGAACACUGAUGGCCAUAUUAAAUGCAGAGGGAACCCUGUCCUCUUUCUUCCCCAAGAGAAGCCUUCCUCGUGCUCUCGAGUCACCUGCCUCUAGCAAUGAAGGCGCCUCCAUCUUCUCCCUUCCUAUUGUUGCUACUGCUGUUCUUCCCUUCAAGCGGCCUUGCCGCCCC